CCUACGGGGGGCUGCAGUAACGAAUCUUCCGCAAUGCACGAAAGUGUGACGGAGCGACGCCGCGUGUAGGACGAAGCCCUUCGGGGUGUAAACUACUGUCAGGGGUUACCAAGUUCUGAGGAGCCCCAGAGGAAGGCACGGCUAACUCUGUGCCAGCAGCCGCGGUAAGACAGAGGUGCCAAGCGUUAGGCGGAAUCACUGGGCUUAAAGCGUGUGUAGGCGGGUUCCUAAGUACCUUGUGAAAUCCCCCGGCUCAACCGGGGAACUGCUUGGUAUACUGGGUGCCUUGAGCCAGCUAGGGGCGACCGGAACAAGUGGUGGAGCGGUGAAAUGCGUAGAUAUCACUUGGAACGCCAACGGUGAAAACAGGUCGCUGGGGCUGUGCUGACGCUGAGACACGAAAGCCAGGGGAGCGAACGGGAUUAGAUACCCUUGUAGUC
rnacentral:rRNA from 1 species